rnacentral:misc_RNA from 1 species
GAAAUGCGAUAAGUAGUGUGAAUUGCAGAAUUCAGUGAAUCAUCUAAUCUUUGAACGCACAUUGCGCCCCUUGGUAUUCCAUGGGGCAUGCCUGUUCGAGCGUCAUUUGUACCCUCAAGCUCUGCUUGGUGUUGGGUGUUUGUCCCGUCUCCGCGCGUGGACUCGCCCCAAAGUGAUUGGCAGCCGGCGUACUGGUCCCGGAGCGCAGCACAUGUCGCGCAAACGAGUGCCUUGGUACGGCGGCGUCCAUAAGCCCCUCUCUCACGCUCUUGACCUCGGAUCAGGUAGGGAUACCCGCUGAACAUAAGC